CAGGUGGUCAGGUAGAGAAUACCAAGGCGCUUGAGAGAACUCGGGUGAAGGAACUAGGCAAAAUGGUGCCGUAACUUCGGGAGAAGGCACGCUGGUGUGUAGGUGAAGUCCCUGCGGAUGGAGCUGAGACCAGUCGAAGAUACCAGCUGGCUGCAACUGUUUAUUAAAAACACAGCACUGUGCAAACACGAAAGUGGACGUAUACGGUGUGACGCCUGCCCGGUGCCGGAAGGUUAAUUGAUGGGGUUAUCCGUAAGGAGAAGCUCUUGAUCGAAGCCCCGGUAAACGGCGGCCGUAACUAUAACGGUCCUAAGGUAGCGAAAUUCCUUGUCGGGUAAGUUCCGACCUGCACGAAUGGCGUAAUGAUGGCCAGGCUGUCUCCACCCGAGACUCAGUGAAAUUGAACUCGCUGUGAAGAUGCAGUGUACCCGCGGCAAGACGGAAAGACCCCGUGAACCUUUACUAUAGCUUGACACUGAACAUUGAGCCUUGAUGUGUAGGAUAGGUGGGAGGCUUUGAAGCGUGGACGCCAGUCUGCGUGGAGCCAACCUUGAAAUACCACCCUUUAAUGUUUGAUGUUCUAACGUUGGCCCCUUACCGGGGUUGCGGACAGUGUCUGGUGGGUAGUUUGACUGGGGCGGUCUCCUCCCAAAGCGUAACGGAGGAGCACGAAGGUUAGCUAAUCCUGGUCGGACAUCAGGAGGUUAGUGCAAUGGCAUAAGCUAGCUUGACUGCGAGCGUGACGGCGCGAGCAGGUGCGAAAGCAGGUCAUAGUGAUCCGGUGGUUCUGAAUGGAAGGGCCAUCGCUCAACGGAUAAAAGGUACUCCGGGGAUAACAGGCUGAUACCGCCCAAGAGUUCAUAUCGACGGCGGUGUUUGGCACCUCGAUGUCGGCUCAUCACAUCCUGGGGCUGAAGUAGGUCCCAAGGGUAUGGCUGUUCGCCAUUUAAAGUGGUACGCGAGCUGGGUUUAGAACGUCGUGAGACAGUUCGGUCCCUAUCUGCCGUGGGCGCUGGAGAAUUGAGGGGGGCUGCUCCUAGUACGAGAGGACCGGAGUGGACGCAUCACUGGUGUUCGGGUUGUCAUGCCAAUGGCACUGCCCGGUAGCUAAAUGCGGAAGAGAUAAGUGCUGAAAGCAUCUAAGCACGAAACUUGCCCCGAGAUGAGUUCUCCCUGAGACUUUAAGUCUCCUGAAGGAACGUUGAAGACGACGACGUUGAUAGGCCGGGUGUGUAAGCGCAGCGAUGCGUUGAGCU
rnacentral:rRNA from 1 species